rnacentral:tRNA from 1 species
AAGGUUUUAAGUUAAAUAUUAAACCAAUAAUCUUCAAAAUUAUUUAUAAAGAAAUCUUCUUUAAACCUUA